AGAGAGAGACAUGCGCGCAUAUCAAUAAGCGGAGGAAAAGAAACUAACUAGGAUUCCCUCAGUAACGGCGAGUGAAGCGGGAAGAGCUCAAAUUUGAAAUCUUCAAGGUUUUACCUUGACGAAUUGUAGUUUAAAGAAGUGUUUUCUGCUGAAGUUUUGGUAAAAGUUCUUUGGAAUAGGACAUCAUAGAGGGUGAGAAUCCCGUAUUUGACCAUUAUUUUCAGCUUUGUGAUACACUUUCAAAGAGUCGGAUUGUUUGGGAAUAGCAGUCCAAAAUGGGUGGUAAAUUUCAUCUAAAGCUAAAUAUUGGCGAGAGACCGAUAGCGAACAAGUACCGUGAGGGAAAGAUGAAAAGAACUUUGAAAAGAGAGUUAAACAGUACGUGAAAUUGUCAAAAGGGAAGCGUUUGACACCAGUGUUGUUUUCUCGAAAAUCAAUUAAAAAUGGCUCGAUUUUGUAUUGCUGAGACCUUAAAAGCUCACUGUACAUUUUUCGUGUCUUUUUUAAUGCACUUUUCGUUUAACAAGUCAACAUCAGUUUCUUUUGUUGUAAAAGGGUCAUUGGAAGGUGGCUUUCUUUUCGGAGAAAGUGUUUAUAGCCUUUGGCCUCUGCAAUCGAAGAGACUGAGGUCUGCAGCGUAGACUCUUCGGGGUUAGAUACAUUUGUGCUAAGUUAUAGCUUUUUAUAGACAACUUGUUGACUAUAAUUAGUCUUGUAGCUUACUCGCUUAUGCUAUUUUACCUACGCUUAGGAUGUUGAAGAUGUAGCACAUCAU
rnacentral:rRNA from 1 species